UACAGAGGGGGCAAGCGUUGUCCGGAUUUACUGGGCGUACAGCGCGCGCAGGCGGCCGUGUAUGUGACCGGUGACAGUCGCGGGCUCAACCCGCGCCGGCCCGGUUACACAGCACAGCUGGAGGCAGGGAGAGGGAUGUGGAAUACCCGGUGGAGCGGUGAAAUGCGUAGAUAUCUGGAGGAACACCGGUGGCGAAGGCGGCAUCCUGGACCAACACUGACGCUGAGUGAGCGAAAGCCAGGGGAGCAAGCAGGG
rnacentral:rRNA from 1 species